CCUCCCUUCCCCUCGGCUGCCGCAGCCCGGUUCGUCGCGCGUCAGCGUGGGCUCCCCGGAGCGAGUCGCUAGGUAACGGGGCUGGCUCCGCAGACCCGCGGCCGGGGAAGCCCGCGCGCGCCGUCAGCAGCCGCGCCGCGGGGCGGGGGCCGGGGCGCACGGAACCUCACCCAGCGGGGCUGCAGACCCCGACUCGCACGCUGCCCCCUCCCAGGAUGCCCUAACCCGCGCCGAUCGCCACCGCCCAGGUGCCCCUCCCUCGCAGGGACCCCGACACCGCCGGCCCCUUCUCCUCACCACCCCCCCCAGCCUGUGCGCACCGCUCUGCGCGCGGCCGGGUGGGCGCCCCACUGCCGCGGUCGCCGUCGCCGCUGGUCCUCCCGCCGAGCCCCUGCGCGGGGCAUGAGGAGCCCCGGGGCGCCGCCCGGAGACGACCCGGCUGCGCGCACUCUUCGCCAGCGGCGGACGGGGACAUGAGCGGCGCGCACGGGGUCCGGCGUCCGGCUGCCAGCCCCAGCCGGCGGCGGCCAGCGGGUCCGCGCUGCCCGGGAGAAUGAGGCAGGAGCCAGCGGCAGCCUCCUCCUUCUCCUCCUCCUCUUCGCCCUCUUUCGGCUCCGGCGCCCCGGCCGGGCUGUGGCUCUGCUGCGUGCCCCGCGCGCCCCCCGCCCGCCUCCGGAUGCGCUGCUCGGUUAGCCUGGGGCGGAAGAUAAAGACAUUUGCCACCAAGAUGGUAAUCACGAGCGGAAAUGAGGAGGACAGAGAAGGCCAGGAGAGAGAGAGUAAGGAAGAGAGUGUCUUGGCGAUGCUGGGGAUUAUCGGGACCAUUCUGAACCUGAUUGUUAUUAUAUUUGUAUACAUAUACACCACUCUGUGAAUGGCGCGGAGGGCGCUUGGAGGCCUCAGGGGUGGCCGAAAGACGGGAGUCCGGUGUGUCCACAGAUCUGUGAUCAGACGUUGCGCCAACAAGCAGGCUUGACCUACACGCUGCUCGAGCAAACGCACCUUCGAACUUUAUACAAGGUCACACAAACACCAGUCCUGCUGCUGGGAGAAGACUAAAGCACAAUGAAUCCAACAAAACUCAUUCACACAACCAGGAACUCAGCGUCUUUGGCCCGGGGCCCGGAAGACCAGCCUUUGACGCCGGCGGCGCGCAGACGGGUGCGGAAACUCACGAUCCCGGAUCUCUGAUGGAUCUCACGCCUCGGGAAAGAGGAACAGACCAGCACGGCUCGUGGGCGCGUCUCCCGGGACAGGCGCUUGGCCUCCACUCGCCGAGCCGUUCACCACGAAAAACUAUAGGCAGCCCUUUGACAGACAUCCCAUCCAUCAAAAGUGUCUAACUAUUUGAUACUGGGGAGAUAACUUAUUUUUCUUUUUUCAUUGGCUUGACGUGUGUAUCUGUUCAUAUCGAGGUUUAUAAAUAUAUAUUUUUAAUAAAUGUGCUCUAUUUUUUAGCAUGAACCAAAUAUUUGGAGAGGCGCUCUUGGAGUUUAGAGCCUUCUUUGGUUUUAUCUGCUUCGCCCCGUAGACUGCAGGUGUUCUGUGGUAUAGCCUUUCAAGUCCUGCUUUGAGCAUCUUCCAUCUUUUACCUUCUCUCUCUCUCUCUCUCUCACUUUCUCCCUCUCUCUCUCUCCCCCUUUUUGGUCUGGAGGACAUUUUCCCAUAAUACCAGCCAUGGUCCUGGUCGAUGCAUGUUUUAAGAUUGUCCGGUGAGCGGCUUUUUGUUGUUCUAUGGGAGAUCUAAACCAAUCGUGGGCAUGGAGACCUUAGUUGCACCAUAUCGUUAUUGAGAAUUUUGCAUGAACAAGGGCUGAGUGAUAGAUCAGCUUCAAAGAACUGUAAAAAGGACUAUCACGGAAGGAGAGAGGGCAGUUGUACUUACAGAUCAAUGCUAGGAUGGAAUAUUUCAGCUUCUUCUUGGCAGCAUUUAUAUUUCAUGCUUGUGACCAUUCGUUGAUCAGAUUUUUAUUUUACUGGCCACAUGCCGUGCAAGAUAGGGAGACCAGAGGGGUAGAAGCCAGCACAGGCGCAUAAUUCCUUCCUUAGUGAGCUGCCUGGGACCUUUGUCAAAGUCUGUGAGGUGUAAAUGGCAUGGGGAUUCACUCCCCACUGUGAGCGCUCAACUAGGUGUUCCAAGCUGCAAGGACACCCCUGUGGCAGGUGACAAGAAGGGGACAGAACAAUCACCCCUAAGAGAUUGCUGUGCUUCUUAAAGUUCCUGGUUUACACCCACGAGAAGCUACUUCUUCCCUGGUAGGGAUGGGUGAAUAUAUAUAAAUUUACCCUCUUCCCCAGCUCCCUGAGACGGGCCUUUGCCUGGUGGUGACAAAGAGGGUCACAAUUCCUUUUGCUAGUGCCAGACUUGUCUGUGGACGAAAGAAGCAGCGACUUGCCUCGUUGGGUUCAAAUGACGCCUAACAGGUCUCUAACCGCCAGAUCUCUCCCUCCCCUUGUUGUGGUAUCUGAAAUUCCACCAUUAGAGAGUCAUUUCUUGUGCUCUUCUAAGGGACCAGGUUCUUUUAUAAAGCAGAUGCCCCUGAGCACCUGGCUCUGACAUUAUUCAUCCGGUGUCUUCUCUUCCCUACUGGAAGGACGUAGACAUGCAUUUAGGGCACACUGCGUGCCAGGCACCGUGCCAGGCACUUUAUAUUCCUUAGGUCACUGAAUUCCCCCUGUAACCCUGUGAGAUGGGGGGGUCUUUUCCCAGCAUCGUAGAAGAAAAGAGGGCUCAGAGAGAUCAUGUGGCUGAAACCCCUGAUCUGACGAAUUCCUUAGCCCAGCCGGGGCUGGAGAGAGAGGAAAUGCACAGGAGGGGAAGGUGCAGGAAAGGGCUUUGCUAAGGGCCAGCUCUGCACACCUCCCUCCCUGCUCCUCCAUAAAAAUAAAUAACCCUUGGGAACUCCUUGGACACUGACAGAAUGUCAUACAAAUGAAGACGAGGGACCAGAGGAGGCUGGUUAGAAAUCAAGCGGGAUGUCGGGGAGGGAGCUAUCUACUAGGUUCUUUGUGAUUCUAGAAAGACUGUGUGAAAAUUCUGAACAGUGAACAGAGUAAACAAUAAAGGUGC